AUUGAACGCUGGCGGCAUGCUUUACACAUGCAAGUCGAACGGUAACAGGCCUUCGGGUGCUGACGAGUGGCGAACGGGUGAGUAAUGCAUCGGAACGUACCCAGAGGUGGGGGAUAACGCAGCGAAAGCUGUGCUAAUACCGCAUGUGAUCUGAGGAUGAAAGCGGGGGACCGAGCAGCAAUGUUUGGCCUCGCGCCUUUGGAGCGGCCGAUGUCGGAUUAGCUAGUUGGUGGGGUAAAGGCCUACCAAGGCGACGAUCCGUAGCUGGUCUGAGAGGACGACCAGCCACACUGGGACUGAGACACGGCCCAGACUCCUACGGGAGGCAGCAGUGGGGAAUUUUGGACAAUGGGCGCAAGCCUGAUCCAGCAAUGCCGCGCGCGGGAAGAAGGCCUUCGGGUUGUAAACCGCUUUUGGCAGGAACGAAACGGUGUCCGCUAAUACCGGGCGCUAAUGACGGUACCUGCAGAAUAAGCACCGGCUAACUACGU
rnacentral:rRNA from 1 species